rnacentral:rRNA from 1 species
AGGAAUCUGCCUGGUAGUGGGGGACAACGUUUCGAAAGGAACGCUAAUACCGCAUACGUCCUACGGGAGAAAGCAGGGGACCUUCGGGCCUUGCGCUAUCAGAUGAGCCUAGGUCGGAUUAGCUAGUUGGUGGGGUAAUGGCUCACCAAGGCGACGAUCCGUAACUGGUCUGAGAGGAUGAUCAGUCACACUGGAACUGAGACACGGUCCAGACUCCUACGGGAGGCAGCAGUGGGGAAUAUUGGACAAUGGGCGAAAGCCUGAUCCAGCCAUGCCGCGUGUGUGAAGAAGGUCUUCGGAUUGUAAAGCACUUUAAGUUGGGAGGAAGGGCAGUAAGCGAAUACCUUGCUGUUUUGACGUUACCAACAGAAUAAGCACCGGCUAACUCUGUGCCAGCAGCCGCGGUAAUACAGAGGGUGCAAGCGUUAAUCGGAAUUACUGGGCGUAAAGCGCGCGUAGGUGGUUCGUUAAGUUGGAUGUGAAAUCCCCGGGCUCAACCUGGGAACUGCAUCCAAAACUGGCGAGCUAGAGUAGGGCAGAGGGUGGUGGAAUUUCCUGUGUAGCGGUGAAAUGCGUAGAUAUAGGAAGGAACACCAGUGGCGAAGGCGACCACCUGGGCUCAUACUGACACUGAGGUGCGAAAGCGUGGGGAGCAAACAGGAUAAGAUACCCUGGUAGUCCACGCCGUAAACGAUGUCAACUAGCGGUUGGAAUCCUUGAGAUUUUAGUGGCGCAGCUAACGCAUUAAGUGACGCGCCAGGGGAGGGCGA